UACGUAGGUGGCGAGCGUUGUCCGGAUUUACUGGGCGUAAAGCGCGCGCAGGCGGUUCGUUAAGUCCGGUGUGAAAGCUCCCGGCUCAACUGGGAGAGGUCAUUGGAUACUGGCGGACUCGAGGGAUGCAGAGGAAGGUGGAAUUCCCGGUGUAGUGGUGAAAUGCGUUGAUAUCCACAGGAACUCCGGUGGCGAAGGCGAGGCGCUGGACCCCAUCUGACGCUGAGGCGCGAAAGCCAGGGGAGCGAACGGG
rnacentral:rRNA from 1 species